GAUGAACGCUGGCGGCGUGCCUAAUACAUGCAAGUCGAGCGAACGGACGAGAAGCUUGCUUCUCUGAUGUUAGCGGCGGACGGGUGAGUAACACGUGGAUAACCUACCUAUAAGACUGGGAUAACUUCGGGAAACCGGAGCUAAUACCGGAUAAUAUUUUGAACCGCAUGGUUCAAAAGUGAAAGACGGUCUUGCUGUCACUUAUAGAUGGAUCCGCGCUGCAUUAGCUAGUUGGUAAGGUAACGGCUUACCAAGGCAACGAUGCAUAGCCGACCUGAGAGGGUGAUCGGCCACACUGGAACUGAGACACGGUCCAGACUCCUACGGGAGGCAGCAGUAGGGAAUCUUCCGCAAUGGGCGAAAGCCUGACGGAGCAACGCCGCGUGAGUGAUGAAGGUCUUCGGAUCGUAAAACUCUGUUAUUAGGGAAGAACAUAUGUGUAAGUAACUGUGCACAUCUUGACGGUACCUAAACAGAAAGCCACGGCUAACUACGU
rnacentral:rRNA from 1 species